AUCGUCUGGGGCAGAAUACGCGCCUUGCAAAAUAACCGACGUCUAAUAGCGUCGGUUAUUUUUUUAC
rnacentral:sRNA from 2 species